rnacentral:rRNA from 1 species
CCUACGGGGGGCAGCAGUGGGGAAUAUUGGACAAUGGGGGGAACCCUGAUCCAGCCAUGCCGCGUGUGUGAAGAAGGCCCUCGGGUUGUAAAGCACUUUCAGUGAGGAAGAACGCCUGGUGGUUAAUACCCAUCAGGAAAGACAUCACUCACAGAAGAAGCACCGGCUAACUCCGUGCCAGCAGCCGCGGUAAUACGGAGGGUGCGAGCGUUAAUCGGAAUUACUGGGCGUAAAGCGCGCGUAGGUGGCUUGAUAAGCCGGUUGUGAAAGCCCCGGGCUCAACCUGGGAACGGCAUCCGGAACUGUCAAGCUAGAGUGCAGGAGAGGAAGGUAGAAUUCCCGGUGUAGCGGUGAAAUGCGUAGAGAUCGGGAGGAAUACCAGUGGCGAAGGAGGCCUUCUGGACUGACACUGACACUGAGGUGCGAAAGCGUGGGUAGCAAACAGGAUUAGAUACCCCAGUAGUC